rnacentral:rRNA from 1 species
CCUACGGGUGGCAGCAGUGGGGAAUAUUGGACAAUGGGGGCAACCCUGAUCCAGCCAUGCCGCGUGUGUGAAGAAGGCCCUCGGGUUGUAAAGCACUUUCAGUGAGGAAGAACGCCUGGUGGUUAAUACCCAUCAGGAAAGACAUCACUCACAGAAGAAGCACCGGCUAACUCCGUGCCAGCAGCCGCGGUAAUACGGAGGGUGCGAGCGUUAAUCGGAAUUACUGGGCGUAAAGCGCGCGUAGGUGGCUUGAUAAGCCGGUUGUGAAAGCCCCGGGCUCAACCUGGGAACGGCAUCCGGAACUGUCAAGCUAGAGUGCAGGAGAGGAAGGUAGAAUUCCCGGUGUAGCGGUGAAAUGCGUAGAGAUCGGGAGGAAUACCAGUGGCGAAGGCGUCCUUCUGGACUGACACUGACACUGAGGUGCGAAAGCGUGGGUAGCAAACAGGAUUAGAUACCCGAGUAGUC